rnacentral:rRNA from 1 species
GAUGAACGCUGGCGGCGUGCCUAAUACAUGCAAGUCGAGCGAACGGACGAGAAGCCUGCUUCUCUGAUGUUAGCGGCGGACGGGUGAGUAACACGUGGAUAACCUACCUAUAAGACUGGGAUAACUUCGGGAAACCGGAGCUAAUACCGGAUAAUAUUUUGAACCGCAUGGUUCAAAAGUGAAAGACGGUCUUGCUGUCACUUAUAGAUGGAUCCGCGCUGCAUUAGCUAGUUGAUAAGGUAACGGCUUACCAAGGCAACGAUGCAUAGCCGACCUGAGAGGGUGAUCGGCCACACUGGAACUGAGACACGGUCCAGACUCCUACGGGAGGCAGCAGUAGGGAAUCUUCCGCAAUGGGCGAAAGCCUGACGGAGCAACGCCGCGUGAGUGAUGAAGGUCUUCGGAUCGUAAAACUCUGUUAUUAGGGAAGAACAUAUGUGUAAGUAACUGUGCACAUCUUGACGGUACCUAAUCAGAAAGCCACGGCUAACUACGUG